UGGGGAAUCUUGCACAAUGGGGGAAACCCUGAUGCAGCGACGCCGCGUGAGCGAUGAAGCCCUUCGGGGUGUAAAGCUCUUUCGUCAGGGAAGAUAAUGACGGUACCUGGAGAAGCAGCUGCGGCUAACUACGUGCCAGCAGCCGCGGUAAUACGUAGGCAGCAAGCGUUGUUCGGAGUUACUGGGCGUAAAGGGUGUGUAGGCGGUUCUUUAAGUUUGGUGUGAAAUCUCCCGGCUCAACUGGGAGGGUGCGCCGAAUACUGAGGGACUAGAGUACGGGAGAGGAAAGUGGAAUUCCUGGUGUAGCGGUGAAAUGCGUAGAUAUCAGGAGGAACACCGGUGGUGUAGACGGCUUUCUGGACCGUAACUGACGCUGAGACACGAAAGCGUGGGUAGCAAACA
rnacentral:rRNA from 1 species